ensembl:lncRNA novel transcript
GGCCCUGAACGGACGCCGUAGCCGAGAGGUUGGGCGGAUGUUGUGAACCGGGUCGCGGCGGCCGAGGCUCGGGCCUCCAGGACCACUGGCUGCCCAUGAGAGACGAAGGAUGGCAUCCAAGGGGGCCGGCGUGUCUUUCUCCCGCAAGAGCUGUAGGCUGACCUCAGAUGCUGAGAAAUCCAGGGUCACAGUUACUCGGGAGGCUGAGGCAGGAGAAUCGCUUGAACCGGAGAGGCGGACGUUGCAGUGAGCCGAGGUCAAACCAGUGCACUCCAGCCUGGGCAACAGAGCGAGACUCCAUCUGAAAAAGAAACAAAAAGAAAAAAAAAUUUUGGACCCGCUGCAGCUGGGAGGGGAGCUGUCCAGGAGGCCGGCCUGGGAAUGAGCACAGGCCUGCGGCUGGCAGAGAGCCGGGUCGAGCCAGCCCUGGAGAAGCAGGCCCAGCUGGAGGAGCAGCUGCGGGACAAGGUGCUCCACGAGAAGGACCUGUCCCAGCAGCAGAUGCAAAGCGACCUGGACAAGGCUGACCUCAGUGCCAGGAGGGUCCCUGGUGGGUGCUGCAUGAGGCAGGCGUCACUGCAGAAGCUACGAGGGAGGCUGAGACAGGAGAAUCGCUUGAACCCAGGAUGUGGAGGUUGCAGUGAGCCAAGAUCACAUCACUGUAUUCCGGCCUGGACGACACAGCGAAACUCUGUCUCAAAAGAAAACCACAAAAAAACAACUUGUGCCCCUUACUCCUGCCACCUGGAGUGACAGAGCUGGGCCUGGCAGUGAAGCGUCUACAGAAGCAGAAUCUGGAGAAGGAUCAGGUCGACAAGGACCUCACCGAGAAGCUUGAGGCCCUGGAAUCCCUGCGGCUACAGGAGCAGGCGGCCCUGGAGACAGAGGAUGGAGAGGGGCUACAGCGGAGCCUAAGGGACCUGGCA